CCUACGGGUGGCAGCAGUGAGGAAUAUUGGUCAAUGGACGAGAGUCUGAACCAGCCAAGUAGCGUGAAGGAUGACUGCCCUAUGGGUUGUAAACUUCUUUUAUAUGGGAAUAAAAUGUUCCACGUGUGGGAUUUUGUAUGUACUAUAUGAAUAAGGAUCGGCUAACUCCGUGCCAGCAGCCGCGGUAAUACGGAGGAUCCGAGCGUUAUCCGGAUUUAUUGGGUUUAAAGGGAGCGUAGGUGGAUUGUUAAGUCAGUUGUGAAAGUUUGCGGCUCAACCGUAAAAUUGCAGUUGAAACUGGCAGUCGUGAGUACAGUAGAGGUGGGCGGAAUUCGUGGUGUAGCGGUGAAAUGCUUAGAUAUCACGAAGAACUCCGAUUGCGAAGGCAGCUCACUGGACUGCAACUGACACUGAGGCGCGAAAGUGUGGGUAUCAAACAGGAGUAGAUACCCCAGUAGUC
rnacentral:rRNA from 1 species